CCCCCCAGGAGCUGGGGAGCAGCAGGAAGCAGAUUAUCUGUGUCUCGCUGUGACACACGCGAUCAUGUAUCACGGUGAUGGAUCAACAGUCAAUACCGCCGGGUCCCGGCCCGCCCUCGUGCGCUGGAACGUCUCGCGUUCAUCCGUCUUCCUCUCCUGGGGGUGGCCCUGCUCCUGCCUGCCACCCUCCCGUGCUCCUGGCCUUGGCGGGAAGCACCUUUGGGCUGUCGUGGUUCACGUGCAAAGUGGCCACGGGGGACGCACGGGGGCAAAGCCCUGGCGGGGCCCUGCUGUGACAUCCUGGGGGCUGCAGCCGGAAGACCCAGCUGUGUUCAGGGGCACCUCGCAGCCUGGCCUUGGAUUCCGGCCCCUCCGUCUGCCGUGGUCUUGGGCAACUUGCUUCAGCUCCUCGUGGACAGUCUCCUUGGUGCAGCUGAGAACAGCCUCUUCUCCGGGGGUCAGUGGGCGCGGAUGGAGGGGGGCAGUCGGUGACCCACACUGGCCUCCCCAUUGUGGCCUCCCUGGCCAACUCAGCCGUCUCCUUCACCUGCAAAAUCACCUACCAGUACACCCCCAAAUUCCAGCCCUUCACUGUCAACUACUUCCACGUGGAUCUCCAGGGCAGGACCAGCAGGAAGCAGCCCACCGGCUGCCGACCCGCCUCGGGCACCGAGAACCAGACCUACACGCUGGACUGCAGGGUCACCCUCAGGCUGCCCAACGCCUCGGCCACAGGCUCCUACUACUGCUGCCUCCUCUGGCCGAGCUCCAACGUCACUGGCAACGGUACCUUCAUCCUGGUCAGAGAAACAGAUGCUGGUUCCAGAAAAGCGCACCACCAAGGAGCACCCGGAUCCAGGCUCGGCCAGCAGACCCGGGCAGGCUCCGGCUGAAUCCAUCUACACGGCCCUGGAGCGCCCCGAGCCCGAGGUCUACGCCUACCUCGAGAGCGAGGCCAGCAGCCCACCCUCGGCCAGGAACCGCCCCUCCCAGGAGAGACUGCGUAGGUUUGAGGACGACACUGAAUUGAACCUGGUCUAUGAAAAUCUCUAGGACAGGUUCCACCAGCCAUGGGGCUUGUCCUGGAUCAGGAGCCCAGGGUGUGGCCUUGACCUGAACGAAGAGUGAGGGCCUGCCCAUGGCCUCAGCCUCACAUCCGAGGUCCUCCUGCCGUGGCCGCCGGCCCCCAUCCUGCACCCAGACAAGUGCUUCCCUUCUUCAGGUCCUUCCUGGGCUGUCCCAUCUCCCUCCCCUGCUGCAGCUGGCGAAGUGCUGCUCUGUCCCUGGGGGCUCGCUGGGACCCAGCCUCUUCCUGAGGGCCUCCUCACCCGCCCGUGCCUGCCCACAGAGCCUGUGUGGCUCACCCGGUGCCAGCCGGCAUCUUGCUGCGCAGCCCAUGAGCCCUCCGAGAGAACACAGCGAGGGCCCCCAUCAGCGCUGUGUACAGUGCUGUUGGGGGGGGAGGCGGACACCCACCUGCCCAGAGGAGGAGGCUGGCAUGGGAGCAUGGGGCUCAAGACGGGGCUCAAGGGACAGAUACGCAGGCUGAGGAUGUGGCAAGCGGUGGUCAGACUGGGGCCUGGAGCAGAAAGGGUCCUGUGCACGCUGUUGAGAAGGGGGUUCUGGUGUGUUAGGGUGCAGCAGAGGCCCGGCUGAGCAGGAGCUGGGUGAGUGGCCAGAGCUCUCCCCUCUCCCCGCGAGACUCCCCGGGUUGUCUCCGUGGCCUGGCUCCUCCCUUCCACACCAAGACCCUAUCCCCCAACGUCCCUCUGCCUGGCAGGUCCUGAGCCCACCACCUGCAGCUCCAUCCAGCCUCCUCUGACUCCCGUCCUCGGCCCCAUUCCUGCCCCCUGUGUUGAGCCAGAUGGGACACCGUGCCCACCCUGGCUGCCUCAGCCCUCCCCUUUCCCGUGGUGGUCCAGCUGCCUGGCGUGGAGCCCCACCCCUGGACGGGCAGACGGUCUCUGUGUUGCGGUGGAGGCUGGGAGAGCAGUGGCUCCCCAGGGCCUGACCCAGAGCCUGUCUGCCCCUCCGGGUGCUCAAGUGACCCCUCGUCUCACCCUGGAAGCAGCCCUGCAAGGUAGCUGACCACUGUUCCCCAGGCAGGCGGGCUCAGGGCCACACAGGCUGUCAUCUGUCCCCUCCCCCUGGGUCCUCCCCAGGCUCAGUCUUUUCUCACCUCCCGGGCUGCUCCAGAAGUCUCUCGGGUGCCUCAAGGCCACUAUAAUAUCCCCAUGUCGGGUGGGGGACCCAAGCAGCCCUGGGCCACCAGCACUCGGUCAGCACCUCCUGCUCUGCAGGUCAGGUCCUCUGUGGGGACAAAGGCUGAGGGUGGCCCUGAUGACCGCCAGGUGUCCCCAGGCACUCUGCUAGGUGGCACGGGGCCUCCCUGGGCCUCCCGACUAGGUUCUAGGCCGCCCUGCUCAGGAUCACCAGGCUGGGCUGCGGAGGCUGAGUUUGGUGAGGUCCAAGCCUGUGGAGGGAGGCAGCAGCCUCGCUCAGAGUCAGCUUCAGGCUCGGCCUCCAGCAGCCUGCGGUGGGGGUCAGGGGAGUGAAAACUGCAGCCAGCAGGACCAGAGGAGCCUCUUGGCCAGGCCUGCCUCCCCCGCCUCCUGGGCCUCUCUGUCCUUGACCCCUGGACCUCCUGACUGGGACUUGGGCGUUUCCAGCCUUCUCCAGGGGAGUGAGGGGACCCUGGCAGGGACUUCAGGGUGUCCUGGCCCAGGCCCCCCCAUCACAGCCCCCUGCAGUGGCCCUGCCCACGGUCUCUUCUACCAAGCAGCUCAAGGAUCCCUGCCCUGCUCAAAACCACCCCUGGUUCCCAUUUCAUGUGGAAUAAAAUCCCGGCUCCUGUCUGUGGCUCGAGACACCCUUGAGUACUGAGCUCUGGACACAGACUUGGCCAGAUGGGUGCAGAGCCGGGAGGCCAGCAGGUGCCGUGGGCUCCAGUGAGUGAGCAGAGAGGGGGAAAGAGGGGGAAGAGGGUGCGGGGUGAGGGGGGGCUGAGAGGGCCUUUGACGGGAGGGAGGCUGGGGCAGAAUGUCCUGGGACUCCCAGUGGGCAGCACAGAAGACGGCCACCUGGCCCCAGGCCGCCAGGACUGAGAGCCUCAGGUGAGCUGGUGCAGGGUGGAGGGGAGCAGCUGUGACUCGGGAGAGAGAGGAGCUGCCCCUCUAGGGCAGGGCCACCUCCUGGCUCCCAGCUCCACCUCCAGCCACAGUGGGACUCAGCGAGUCCUGGCCCUCCCGAGCCUUGGUUUCCAGUGACCCUCAGGCCCCUUGGUGUGUCUGAGAGGACGGUGGAGGACUCCCUGGCUCUCGCAGGGCCCAGCGGGUGCAGUGCCCUCUGGGAUUCAUCCUUCAGAGAAGCAGGCUGCUGGGCAGAGCCCAGGGAGCGUGCUGAGUGGGGGACAGGCUUCCCUGGGCGGGAGGCCACAGCUGCGGAGAAACAGCCUGCUCAGGCGACAGGCUGGAGCUGUCCAGGGCCGGAGAGUGGGCAAGGCGAGCAGAGAGGAGGACAGGGGUUCUGGGGCCGGGGGGUCCCCGGAAGAGGAGAAGAGGAGAGAGCCGGACAGGGGGGAGGGUCCUUGGAGCUCCACCAAGGAAGGGUGGUUGUGACCGUCCUGAGCGUGGACAGAGCUUAGGAGGGAAGGAGGCCCGCGCCAAAGGGCCGCCCUGUGGCUCAGGGUCUUAGUGAUGCGGCCUCUGCCUGCCCCUGCCCUGCCCCUGAGGGACAGCCCACUCUCCCUCGUGGCCCGGC
rnacentral:lncRNA from 1 species